UUUUUUUUUUGCAAUUUUUGACAGUUUAACAUCUGUAGAAUAAUAUCCUGAAAUGUUAUGGUCGUAUCUGAAAUAUUUUAGAAACGGCAGAUAUGAAACGACAGCGCAGCUGGUCGGGGGCCAUAAACUCGAUCUCGCCGGCGAGGAAGGACGCCGGGCAGUUGCGGUAGUUCUUAGGCUUUGACGUAAUCGUUUAUACUUCAAAGAUAGAAAAGAGAGCCUGGUAGUUCCAAGGACUCACAAUAAUCCCUUUAUGUUUGUACGAAAGCGUUGUUGGCAGCUCAAAAUGUUUCGAAGCCGCUCGACGCAGGUAUACGUAAGCGGCCCGUUUAGUUCACUUUUAGCCACUGUGCAGAGCACAUCGCAGCGCGAAUUUCAUUCAAAAUGAGUGGGAAAAGUCAAUCUAGUGUUCAAAAAGGCACACACGAUACUCUAGCGCGUAGAAGUACCAAUAAGAAAAGAAAGUUCCAGGGAAAUCGACACACACUGGAGUGUGUCGAUUAUGCAAAAAACGAGACAUGAGACGAAUGAUGGUAGCAGAAAAACGGCACCACGAGGCUUUAAAGGAGGCUCGGACAGCUCGCAGGACAGCUGGAGCGGCCCAGCAACAAUUUUUCGAACAAGAGGAAGGCGAAUUAUAUGGGCCUGGAAUAGCUGAAUAGCUGCACUCUGACGUCACUUAUCGCUGCAGCAGUUGGGCUAAUUUUUUUUUUACCUCCGGGAAAUUACUAAUAUUUCCAAUAUAUGUCAAUAUUUUUUCGUAAUAUAAUUUUUAUAACUUCUUUAAAUGUUACCUAAUAUAGCCUCAAACUUUUAAAAUAUAUGGCAGAAUAGUUUUUUUUUAAUCCUCGAAAAUCGCCCUCAUUUUCAUGUGGUCACAUUAGGUAGCCCCUUAAAGUGCUUUCCCCAGUAGGCCUACUCCACUAAAUAAUAAAGAACAAAUACGAUAAAAUGUAUGGCUCGGUAGGGAAACAAAAU